AUUGAACGCUGGCGGCAUGCCUUACACAUGCAAGUCGAACGGUAACGCGGGGCAACCUGGCGACGAGUGGCGAACGGGUGAGUAAUGUAUCGGAACGUGCCCAGUUGUGGGGGAUAACUGCUCGAAAGAGCAGCUAAUACCGCAUACGACCUGAGGGUGAAAGCGGGGGAUCGCAAGACCUCGCGCAAUUGGAGCGGCCGAUAUCAGAUUAGGUAGUUGGUGGGGUAAAGGCCCACCAAGCCAACGAUCUGUAGCUGGUCUGAGAGGACGACCAGCCACACGGGGACUGGGACACGGCCCAGACUCCUACGGGAGGCAGCAGUGGGGAAUUUUGGACAAUGGACGCAAGUCUGAUCCAGCCAUGCCGCGUGCGGGAAGAAGGCCUUCGGGUUGUAAACCGCUUUUGUCAGGGAAGAAUAAGCCACUGCUAACAACAGUGGUGAUGACGGUACUAUUUGUAAGCUCCGGCAAACUCCGUGCCAGCCGCCGCAGUAAGAC
rnacentral:rRNA from 1 species